ensembl:misc_RNA Metazoa_SRP Metazoan signal recognition particle RNA
GCCAGGCAUGGUGGCGCGUGCCUGUAGUCCUAGCUUCUCAGGAGGCUGAGGCUGGAGAAUCCCUUGAGUUCAGAAGUUCUGGGCUGUAGUGCGCUAUACUGAUCUGGUGUCCGCACUAAGUUCGGCAUCAAUAUGGUGACCUCCUGGGAGUGGGGGACCACCAGGUUGCCUAAGGAGGGGUGAACCAGCCCAGGUCGGAAAUGGAGCAGGUCAAAACUCCCGUGCUGAUCAGUAGUGGGAUUGUGCCUGUGAAUAGCCACUGCACUCCAGCCUGGGCAACACAGUGAGACCCUACCUCUU